CAAAGACGUGUUUCGAAUGCAGGACGCAGGCGACGCGUCGCAGUCGCGUCUCAUUCGCAAUAAUAAGCAGCACACACAUGAGCCAGCAGCGACCAAAAGCGGCACUGCACACACACUGACAAUGGUUUAGAGAAUUGACAUGGACCUCUCGCAAACUUUUGCGAGAAACACGGAAAGAGAUGCGAUAUCACUUUGGGUUCUCGCACGCGAUCCACGACCAACAAACGACCCGUCGUCGCAGACUGACAUUGCGUAUUUGCCUUUUCGAGAGCCUGUUCCUAGAGUUCGGUACAAACAUCCGGACCUAUCCACAACCAUUCUAAAAUCUGUGUAUGGCCUUUCAGGCAUUGUUGGACGCGUUAAGCAUUUUUUUUUUAUUAAAAAGAUACUCCUGUCCCAUUUUCGUCUCUAUGUCCACAUGCGUGAUUAUCUCUAUAUGUAUCAUCGAAUAACGAGGAAUUGCUGGUAAUACAUUUCUGACACAA